rnacentral:rRNA from 2 species
UACGAAGGGGGCUAGCGUUGCUCGGAAUUACUGGGCGUAAAGGGAGCGUAGGCGGAUAGUUCAGUCAGAGGUGAAAGCCCAGGGCUCAACCUUGGAACUGCCUUUGAUACUGGCUAUCUUGAGUUUGGGAGAGGUAUGUGGAACUCCGAGUGUAGAGGUGAAAUUCGUAGAUAUUCGGAAGAACACCAGUGGCGAAGGCGACAUACUGGCCCAAUACUGACGCUGAGGCUCGAAAGCGUGGGGAGCAAACAGG